CUUGUGUCCCCGCGUUCCGGGCCCCGGCGAGGUCCACGUACCCUGAGCUCUCCACAGUUGGGACUACAGAUCCCGAGCGAGGUCAGGCGGAGACGCGCGGCGCGGCCUCCAAGACCCACCCCGGGGCCGUUGGCGCGCCUGCCCCUCCUCUCGGCCCGCCACCGGGGCUCCAGGCCGGCGCCGUUACCACCCCUUUCUGGGUCGUCAUUUCCUCCCCGCUCUGCCCGCGGUGCCGGCACACCUCCGUGCUGGAUCCCAACCAAGUGCUCUUCCUCUUCGGUGUGUCGGUGUUUGAAACCUUGCCUGAUAACCUUGUGCAUUCUUAAUGAUUGGGGGCACUCAUCUCUCAGUUCCUAUUUAUCCAUACCUCCUCCCUUGAACUUUCUCCCUUGGAUGCUCUCUGGUUUUGUUUUCCUUUAAUCUUUUUUGUGUCAGUCUCCGCUCAAUAACUCAGCCCACCGUGUCUUUUUUCUAAAACACUUUGGAAUCCCGCGUGAA
rnacentral:lncRNA from 1 species